rnacentral:antisense_RNA from 2 species
UUUUAUGGCGGCUGUGCGCGGGACACUCUCGGGUGUGCCGGGUCUUUCAGGUACCGGUCGGCCAACCCGCACACGGCUGCCACCUUA